AUAAGUAUUUUCUCGCUCAACUACUUGGAUUUGAAUCCUCUUUUUUUCCCAGGGCUGAAAACCAAACACGAAAAAUGAGGUAGGGAUAAGGUUGUUAGGACAUAGCAAUUCACGUGGCAAGAACCUUUUCACAAACAAAUUAAUUUCAACAAAAUUUGAUAUUCAAACUGAUGUAUGAAGCUGUCUGUACUGUAUUAUCGAACACCCACCUGCUGUCUUUUCAUAUCCUCCUCUUUUUCUCGUCGUAGUACAUUAUAUUCUUCCAAUAUAGCCAUCAGAGGUACCUACGUAGAUAUCAUUUGUUUAUGCUGUUAUCAAAUCAACAAACCACAGCAUCAUACUAUUAAAGGGAGUUCACAAAUGCUGGACCAAGAGUAAAGAAAUUGAUACAUUCUCCGGCUUCUGAAAACGUUUCAGAUGUACCUGGUAUUCUGCUGACCAUUAUGCGGGCUCGUUCAGCACGUCUCAAGUUUUUCCAGCGCUCUUCAUCACGUGCCAGCAUCCACUUCUCCACUUUCUCCAUGAUAGCCUUCCUGCUAGAAGCCUCUUCUUUUGCUCUAGAUAUCUGUUCAUCCAUGCUCAAGAGGAGAUCAGAAUGAUCAAUCUCCCCUGUGGAAAAUGAAUCUCCACAUGUGAUUUCUUGCAUAUCAACUCCAGCUCCUCCUGCUUCUUCUGGAAUAGCUCCUUCAUUUUGCUUGCUUUUAGUUGAUCCAGUCUCUUGACUUCAGCUUCA